rnacentral:snRNA from 1 species
AUGCUUGCUUCAGCAGCACAUAUACUAAAAUUGGAAUGAUACAGAGAAGAUUAGCAUGGCCUGGGCCCAAGGAUGGCACCCAUAUUUGUGUGUAUCUAAAAAAAAGG